UAGAGAAGAAAAUUUUAUGUUGGUUGCGAAGGGAAAUCAUAGUCAAUUUCAAUCUUUUGUUUGGAAGCAAAGUCGAGUGAGCUUCAGUUUGAGUGAAGAGAAUUCCAAGUUUGCAUCCAAAACACGGAAGUGUUCCCAUCAACCGUUGAGGUCACUGAUAACGAACGGAGCAUCUUUUGAUAUAAUUUCCUUAAGUUCUUGGAUUCAUAACUUGCGACUUCUUAAGGUCUUGGUUUUGAUUUCCCAUGAUGUUUACUAUGUGAAUUCAGCUACUUUGAAACCACUUAAUCACCUGAAGUAUCUCGUAGUAAGGGCAACUACGUUCUAUUUUGAUCGAGAAUCACAUCUGCCCCAUCUUGAAACUUUAAUUGUGAAGACUGAUAUAUCAGUUAUGUUACGAGGGUGUUUUUGGGAAAUGGAACAAUUAAGGCAUGUUGAGAUCAGUGAUGCUGAAUUUGAUAAGCAGGGGCUCUUUGAAGGAUCCUCUAAAUUGGAAAAUUUGAGGAUAUUAAAGAACAUUGUUGGAUUUCCAAUUGAUAGGGCGGAUGUGUUAUCAAGGAGGUGUCCUAAUCUUCAACAACUUCAAAUCGAAUUUGGAUCUUUUGCAGAACCUCUUUGGCUCACAUUGGAGAAUCUUACCCAGCUUCAAAUACUUGACCUUUCCUUUAGGUUGUUCCACAUGCUAUCUGGGUUACAAUUGCCUUCAAAUUUAAACAAGUUGGUACUAAGUGGGGCUCAUAUCGAAAACCUGAGUUCCUUCAUUGCAGGACUACCAAGCCUGGAGUAUCUCCAAUUUUGUGACCCCUAUGAAUCUGUUCAAAUCAGAGAUUGGUGCCUUGGAGGUAUCACGUUCCCUAAACUUAAGUUGUUGAAACUGGUGAACUUACCGAUCUCAAGGUGGGAUGCCUCAGAGGAAUCGUUUCCCCAGCUCGAAACACUUGUUAUAAAAAGGUGUAACCACCUCAAGGAGAUCCCCCUUAGCUUUGCUGAUAUUCCAACACUGAAGCAGAUUAAGUUGAUUAGGUGCGAGAACGAAUCUCUCAAGGAUUCAGCUGUGGAGAUUAAGAAAGACGUUGAAGAGAAUGAAGGAAACGACCGUAUUGACCUCAUUAUCAAAGGAUGGUAGGGAAUAUAAUUCGAGAUGAAACAUCAAAAUCACAGACAGAGUGGCCGGGGAAUAACAAGGCAAGAAGCUCUCUCUCAAGUUCACAAAUUUUCGCAGCAUUAAAAACUCAAAGGUUUUGAUAGUGUCUUAGAUAUAAGCUCAUUGACAUGAUACUUUUGCUGUGCACUCAAAAUUUUGAAGUUUGUUAUUGUUGAAUUAUUGUAAUUUGUGGCACCUAUUGAAAA
rnacentral:misc_RNA from 1 species